rnacentral:misc_RNA from 1 species
AAAAUCAAGAAUCUAGGUUUCUGUCUUCUCCAUUUAACUCCCUUAGACAUUAAGGAAGUGGCCUGUGGCCCUUCCUCAUGUCACAAAAGGCAAAUAACUCCCUUAACUAUAAAAGAAUUUGGCACUGAUACUUAUUCUGUUAAUUUGCCAUUAGCAUGGGUGUACCAUGGGCGAGACUUUGUUAACUCCACAUUGCUUCUAGUGUGAAAUGGCAGUAAUGUCAUGAUGAAACAAAAUAUACACCUCUAUAUAUGCUUGAGCAAAAUCUCAAGGUUACCUUUUUAGGCCAACCAAAUAUAGAACUGGAGAGAAUAACAGUGUACAAUGCAUUUUAGUUUUUGAUCAGCACAUUGAUACUUGUUAACCAUAACUUGAGAUUGCCCAAUUA